GAAGAACGCAGCGAAAUGCGAUAAGUAAUGUGAAUUGCAGAAUUCAGUGAAUCAUCGAAUCUUUGAACGCACCUUGCGCUCCUUGGUAUUCCGAGGAGCAUGCCUGUUUGAGUGUCAUUAAUAUAUCAACCUCUUUAAAUUUUGAGAGGUGUUUGGAUGUGGGGGUGUUAUUUUGCUGGCCUUCUCCAAGGUCAGCUCCCCUGAAAUGUAUUAGCGGAACAAUUUGUUGACCGUUCAUUGGUGUGAUAGCAUAUCUACGCUAUUGACGUAAAGCAAGUUCAGCUUAUAACAGUCCAUUGACUUGGACAAUUCUCUAUUUAUUAAUUGUGACCUCAAAUCAGGUAGGACUACCCGCUGAACUUAA
rnacentral:rRNA from 1 species